UGUGUUCGCGAUACUGACGUACCGAACGCGUGAUUUUUCUGCCAUGUGUUUUUGCUGCUGUAUUGUGCGUGCCGUCUAAGAGGUCUUGGUCUUUCGAAUGCUGUGUUGAAGGAGUUAGCUAAAAACGAUGGAGUAUUUUGAAACAUUUUGGUCCGGUUCAAUUAUACGGCCGUAUGUGAUGUGUUGACCACCAGCAUCACGCAAGGAGGGAAGAACAAAACCGAAACCCACCCAAUGGGACACAUAAAGUGCAACAUGACAGAAAAUUCCCAUGGGCGAAUUUGGAAACGAAAAAAAAAAGAAGAAAACGCCGAAUGUGAAGUGGAUUAAAGAAGAAACCAAUCAAAAAGAUGGAAACACGCGGAUGGCUGGGCGCAGGUCGAGUGAACACAAAGCGAAACGGAGGAACUCCUUAAGAGAUAUCACAGCCUGUGCUUUGAGGAGCGAAACCGAACCGGCACUGGUGCUGGUAGCGUUCGACAACAGGGGCCCAAACAUCGUGUCGCAUUUCGCAUUCCGAUGAGGCACAUAGAACGUAAACAAUUACCCUACCUUGUUUAUAUUGGAAAAAAAACUAAAACUUACACACCAACACCAUCAAGCCAACCGUUUGGACGGUCGAUGCAUUGGAAGCUGCGACGUUUUCUAGUGUGAAACCAACUGUUCAAAACCGAAAGUUGUAUUUUCUAAAUGAACCCACAACACCAACAAACAGUAACUAAAUGCUAAACUAAAGAGAGUGUUGCACCACAACCGCACGCGACGAAUCGACAUCGAGAGUAGUCAAUGGAGACACGAUGGCACGAUCUACAGGCGGUUCUUCAGGAUGACCUUCACCAUCAGGCAUAACGGGCAGCCGAAGGUGUUCAGGUUGCCGCUGCCGUCCUCGUCGUCGUCGUCGUCGUCGUCCUCGUCCUCGACACCUUCAUCUGCUUGCUCCAUCUGGGCAUCAUACUCUGCGCGA